UUGGUGAAAUGGUACUAUGAGGUUGGUGAAAUGGUACUAUGAGGUUGGUGAAAUGGUACUAUGAGGUUGGUGAAAUGGUACUAUGAGGUUGGUGAAAUGGUACUAUGAGGUUGGUGAAAUGGUACUAUGAGGUUGGUGAAAUGAUACUAUGAGGUUGAUGAAAUGAUACUAUGAGGUUGGUGAAAUGAUACUAUGAGGUUGGUGAAAUGAUACUAUGAGGUUGGUGAAAUGGUACUAUGAGGUUGGUGAAAUGGUACUAUGAGGUUGGUGAAAUGAUACUAUGAGGUUGGUGAAAUGGUACUAUGAGGUUGAUGAAAUGAUACUAUGAGGUACAUGAAAUGGUACUAUCAGGUUGAUGAAAUGAUACUAUGAGGUUGAUGAAAUGAUACUAUGAGGUUGAUGAAAUGAUAC